UGGUAUCAACCAGAGAACAUGGGAGAGUGGCGGAAAAUUAGGGUUCGGCCUCACACUCCGCCAUGAAUGAGGCUCCGUCGUUGCAGAGCGAUUGGAGGAGAUCCUUCUUUUCCUCGCUAUGUAUCGCCGGCAGCCGGCGAUUGCCUCUCCGAACCCUCUUUCUCUCUCUCUCUCUUUGUGUGCGUUUGUAUAUUUAUAUGUAUAUAUAUAUGUAUGUAUGUCUAUCUCUCUUUCUUUCUCUCUCUCUCUCUAAACGUCCGGCCCUUCAGUGAACUGUAGUGCCGGAAUUCUCCCCUAUAAAGGCUAUGAUGAUGGUUUUGAACUUGGAGUGUGAGGAUUUUAGGGCAAUGGCCAAGGAGGUUCGAUUCAUCGGCAUGGUGAUCCGGCUGGUCUGCUAGACUUCGCCGCCAUGGUAGGCCUCCUCUGCUUUGCCCCAUUUCCAGAUCUGAGCCGCCUCUCUUUUAUUCAUCCCUUUCUGGCACCGAUUUUGUGGCUCUGUAUUUUGAUUACACUUUUUUAUCCCUAGGAAGAGUUCCCCAGAAAGUACUUCAUCAUGUAGGAAAAUUUAGACGUUUACAGGAUCAUCAGAGUCCGCCAUUAGUAGAUAUGCGAGGGAGGAUGUUGUUAUGAAUUGAGGCCCAUAAACAAUUUUCUUUUGAAAGGUCUUUUUAAAACUCGAUAACGAUUCGUAUCCAUUGCCGCUGAGAAUCAAUCAAAUCAAUCCC